AGGUGCGGUUAUACUAGUACUAAUGCACCGCAUCCCAUCUAAGCUCCGACGUUAAACGCGCUUUAACAAAAGUAGUACUAGGAUGGGUGAUCUCCUGAUAAGUCCUUGUGCUCAUGGU
rnacentral:rRNA from 1 species